rnacentral:misc_RNA from 1 species
GUGUUGGCAGAGUCGUGCUCAAACAGUAAGUAACUAGACCUAGCCUAGGGCUAGUCCUACCCUACUUUCUUACGACGUACCGCAGGAUUCUUUUAUUUUCAUAAGGCAGACAAAAUCACUCAUUGCAUAGAAAUUAAAGAAAUCAUUAACUAGAGUAUAAUUUGAGGAAAGAAACGUUUUCAACAAUUAUGUUGAGGUGAAGCAGACACAUGAUGGAUAUAAAGAUUUUAGAUGGUGGUUUGGGAACAGAAUGUGAGAAGAGAGGAUUUGCAAUAAAUGAUGAUCCUCUGUGGAAUGCUAGGUUGUUGCUUUCCAACCAAGAUGACAUAAAACACAUUCAUAAAAGAUUCUUGGAAGCUGGAUCUGAUAUCAUUGAGACCAAUACUUACCAGGCCAGUGUUGAAGGUUUUAUCGCUCAUGCUGGCCUGUCAAAGGAGGAGGCCCUCAACCUGAUCCAUCAAGCAGGAGAGAUUGCUAUCGAGGCCGUUAAUGAAUACUGGACUGCUAGGCAACCAACUGAGGAGAAAAACAGGUUGAAACCAGUUGUAGCUGGUUCCAUUGGUCCAUAUGGAGCGUGCCAACAUGAUUCGUCAGAGUACCAUGGCAACUAUGUUGACAGUAUGACAGUUGAGGACCUGAAAAACUGGCACAGGAGUAGAUUUCAAGCACUGUUAAACUCUGGCAUUAAAAUGCUGGCAAUUGAUACAAUCCCAGCUACCAAAGAAGCCAAAGCAAUAGUUUCCCUCUUAGCAGAGUUCCCUGAUGUCACGGCAUGGCUAGCAUUUUCCUGUAAAGAUGAAGCCAGAAUUUGCCAUGGAGAAUCUUUUCGAGAAGCAGUUGCCAUGGUUUCCUCUUGUCCUAAUAUUGUAGCAGUUGGUGCAAAUUGCUGCUCUCCAACAUUUAUUGCUCCACUGCUUCAAAGUGCAAAGAGCGCCACCAAUGGAAAACCAUUUGUUGUGCUUCCAAAUUCAGGAGAGAAGUGGACAGGCUCUGGGUGGACUGGUGAGCGUGAAGUUUCCAGUUGGCAGGCGUACGUAACAGAAUGGAUCCAGCUGGGCGCUAGGUACAUAGGUGGUUGCUGUACAAUUGGACCGGAGGACAUAGCGGUGAUCCGAAGACAUGUUAACAGUAUUAUUACAAGUUGAUGUCCACUAAAGCUAAAUUUCCUUACAUCUUUAUUUUUGGGUGGAUUUCAGUAUUGUUAUACAAUUUUUUUUUUUAAGCUAUAGCUUAAUUAUGUUUGCAGUUGCGGGGGAGGGUCCCUUGAGUUGUUGAUCAGCAAGGUAGGGUGUUGCACACUAUACGCUCAUGAUUUGGUUGGUUAGAACCAUGCCUUCUCACUCAAACAGGAGUCCUAGUGUGCAAAUCUAGCUUGUAUGUAUUUUUAAGAACCCAGUGCAUUUUUCGGAAGAAUAAGGGGUACCCCAGUGCUCUGGGUCAAUUCAACCCCUGUUGUGGAACUACUGAGCGUAUGAUACAGCAGCUAUAAUGCUUACUGACCACGUCCGUUGGUUGGAUCCAACUUCUGACAAAUAAACUGUGAAAAUUUGUAUUAAAAAAGCAAUGAAACUCAGCAAGUCUCCCUUUGCCUUUGCCAAAGAGACCACUGAGAUUUAGAUAUAGAUGUUCCCACAAGAAUAGGCCUGGCAUUGCACACUUUUAUAACAAAUCAUAUAGCAUUUCUUUGUAAACUUUAGAGGGUGCACUCACAAAUAAUAAUCUUCUCUGUUGCUUCGAUUUGUUGAUAAUGAUAAAAAUUGUUGGGCUAACUCAGUCCCUUUCACUUCUAUUCCAUUAUGGGUUCGGGGAAGAAUGGCUUAACCAAGGGGUUGGUGAUGAUAUUUGUUUUCUAAAUUUUUUUAAACAACGUUCUUUAGAUACUGAACAAGAAGAAUGGGUGGCAUAUGUUAACGAGUCAAAUUAAAAAUUUACUGUUCAUUGAAUUAUUGUAUUGCUUUUAAAAACUACCUUUCUUUUAAUUUAAAUCCAUAUUUCAAAAAGAUCUUUACUUCAUUCUGCAUUUCUAGCUACAACAACUUAAAAACCGAGGAAGGUAGAAAGUUAAAUAUUAACUUAAAAAUAGAAUUUGCUCUUGUAGGGGGGUAUUGAUGAUGAAUUAUAUUUUCUUCUCAAAUGUAAAUUAUACAGUGAUUUAAGAGAAAAAUACAUCCCACGAUAUUACGUUCAUUUCCCUACACAAUAUAAAUUAAUUUUCUUAAUGAGCUCGCACAGUCCACAAAAAUUAUGCAUCUAUUUACACCAUGUAAAUAGACGUGUUGUUUGGUACUGCUACCUCAGAAGUCGUAGGGUCUUUCUCAGGAUGACGGUCUUCAGUUCAAUGCUUUCAUCACCACAGGAGGUGACAUUUACUCUGCUGGUGAUGUUCAGAUCACUGACUGGCACUGAUAAUCUAGCUAGCACAAGCGUCUAUUUCUUCUCUCCUUUCUAUCUUUUCCACUGGGAGUGCACCACAUAGAUACAGUAUAUCUUUGUCUGUGGCUUUGUCUUCUGCUAACCAUCAAUAGGCUCCGCUCUACUGGAAAAUUCUCCUCUCUUCACCAUUCUAUUCCAUAGGCCUGAUAAUCUUCAUACACAGGCUCUUAAGACUUUACUGAUUAUGAUUGAUGAUUGGUAUAAAAAUAAUAAUUCCCAGACCCAGCCCCCUCCCAAAAUUUGUAGCUGUUCUUGUUCAAAUCAAAUGAAUUAACAGUACACAGUUAACAGAGUUAACAGUUCAGUUGUAAUAGGUGAAGUAAAUGGAAUGGGCUUGGGAGGGGUGUCCUAUGGGACAACCUUGUUUUGGGCAAUUAGUUUCAUCCUGAAUGGGUAAAACAGUAUGAUUAAUAGUUUUUAAUUGAAGAGGACUGUAUUAUUAUGUAGGACCAAGUUUGGUUUUGCUCAGAGUAAAAUUAUUGAAAGAAUUGCAUUACAGUAUUCGUUUUUCUUUAAGAAUAAGUUACAGUUUGUGGUCGUAAGAUGAAUUUUAGACUAAUAUUAUUAACUAAGAUUAUUAGGUUAAACUUCCCACGUCAGUGCAUAAAACAAUUUUUUUGGAUCUAACGUGUAUUGAUAAACAAUCAUAUUUCUCCGUAAUCCCAAACAUUUAAAGAAUGGCCGGACUUCCUUAUGUUGUGGUUAUUAAAGAAGACCAUUCAACAAAUUCCCACGUUGGUGCAUGCAUAAAAACUUGAUUUCCUGAAAUUUGAAUAAAUGAGAUCAAUAGCCAAUCAAAAUUCUCUGUACUGUCUAUGCUAAACAUUUGAAGGGUGAACUUCCUUGUAAUUUAGGCCUAAGGAAAUGUAAAUGUAUAUGGGUUUGUAGGUGCAAUACAUGACAAAGUGGUCUGUUUAGAAGUUAAAGGGUGGACUUCCUUAUGUUGUGGUCAUAUUAAAGACCAUUUAAGAAACAACAGGAAACAUAUAUCUAAAUUUUAGGUUAAACUUCCCACUUCGGUGCAUACAUAAAUGUAAUUUUUUGGAUAUAUUAGAUUUUCAUGACAGUCGAGAAUGUACCGAUCAUAUAGAUUAUAGACAAUUACUGUUGUCUGAAUGUGUACAUUGAAAAUGUGACGACGGCGAUAAUAGCGCCGGACUCCCAACUGUAAGGGCCUAUAGGGUUAACACUUUACAUUUCCAUAGUAAAGUGGGGGGGGGGGGAACGUGAAUUCACAUUACUUAUCAACAUUGCUUUGGGAAAUCCGUCACUGAACAAACAACUCAUUAAAAAUAUUACUCUUUCAUUCUAAUAUACAUGAUUUACCAUAGUUUUCAUGACCUCUAUAUACAUUUCUUACCGGGGUCAGUGCAUUGCUCAGAAGGUCCUUUGGUCUGAAGUGCCUUUGGUCUGAUGUUAAUAUAUUUGAAAUAUGGACAAAAAUAACAAUACACAAUUAUUGAUUGUUGCAUGAUGUUCAACUCUGCAACAUAAUUGUUUAAUGUAUAAUGCUGAACCCUACGAUUCUGAGCAACCAAUUCACUUGAUGCAAGGUAUAAUAUAACCUUAUUGGACUUCAUGUGAAGAGAUAAUCAAACAUUUUAGACUACGUUUACACAGGUAGUGAUUUCAUGAGAACGUUCACAAUCUUUCAACUACUUUUCUGACGCUUCUGCGUGCAAAUUCUGUACAACCGUAGUAACAAGUAGAACACCUUUCUCAAUUUUUUUUUUUUCAAAAAUCUUAUGAUUACAAGAUAGCACUGUCCAAAAUUUACGUGUAUCAAAUAGAAAUGCCGAAGUUUAGUUCAAAAAAGCAUAAAAAGUAAUCAUUUUUUAGGGAGGGUGUCCUAGGUGUUACAGAUGUGCUAUUUUUAGUUAACGAUCUUUGAUGACAAAGUUAAAAAGUUAAUCAUUUUUGCGUGAUGGCGCCCUACACUGCGUUGUUACAGAAGUUGCACUCGGAGAACACGAUCUUGUAAUUAUAAGAUCUUUGCUUUUUAUGCUUCUUUUUAAAGAACAGUGGUGCUUGUUAUGCGUAAAAUCACAAAGAGCACUAUCUUCUUGUUGUUGUUUUUGUGCUAUUGGUUUGGCCUGCUGACUUGGUCUUAGAUGACUCAUGUCCCUUUUCAGCUUGCAGUCCGAGUGUGGGUUGACUCCUUUAGUCUUUGUCAGAGAGUUUGCUCUGGGGGCAUGAUGUGUAAUUGUAUAGUUUAAGGGAAUACUCACUCUACAAUAAAACAAAGCUCUAUAAUUGUGUUUACAUUUCUAUAUUUGUAUAAAUACAAAAAAUAAAUCCACAAGACAUGGUUUUUAUGUUCCUUUCAUUUUUUAUCUUUAAUGCCAUCAUGGCAGUUACAGACCAUGUUACACAUUAUGGUUUCUACAAUUUAUCUUAACAAAAAACCAAUAAAAAAAUGUAAGUUCUAUCCCACCGAUACAUACACGUAGUUUAAAAUACUGAAGACACCACGAUACUGUCAUUGUCUAAAAAAAAUUCACUUCACCCCUCCCUCUUGUACUAUACAUAUUUAAGAACAUGGUCUCGGUGAGCAUACUUGCCUCUAAUAUGAAAGACAAAAAAGCUAAUUGGUGUAAGAUACAUUAUAGCCAAUAGCAAUGCAGGAUCGGAAUUAACAUAAAUGAUAACCAUUGCAUAAUAAUUCUGGCCUUUAUGUUACAUUAACAUUUAAAUGCAUAAUGUGAAGCUGAUUAUCACAUUAAUAACAAAAUUGGAUAAAAAAAAUAUGAAAACUAUAUAAAUGUUACUUUGAAUAGUAAUAUUUUAAAAUAAAUAUGAAAACAUUAAAAGAAAAUGCAUUACAAUUAAGGAUAUAAAUAAAAUAGACUGUUGUAUGUGUGUGUGCUACUAUGUAUCCAGUGUUUGUGAGUAAAUAGUGUUAAGAGCUUUGAUUCUUUUAUAGCUAAAACUUACAGAUGCAAUUCUAUUAAUAUUGUUAUUAAUACCUGUACUUAUGUUAAUGUAUUUUUUUAAACCUAUAAGUACACAAUACUUUUCUUGUAUUACCUUUACUAUUAAUGUUAUUUUUGUUAAUAAUCUGGCUGCUUGUUAGGGAAUUUUUAAUGCAUUUUCUAAAUAUCGUCAGUGUCCAGCACUGGCCAUUGGCCCAUUUUAUAACCCUGUGUAAAGUCAAAACAUUUCGUUAAUACUUUAAAAUAUAAAAUUUUACAGAAUGCACUAUACAAAAGUGAAUUGAUACAAAGAGCAAUUUAAAGAUAAAAUACUGAGGGGAAAAAAUAGCAGAUUCAUAUCCAGCACUUCAGAAUUCUCAGCGGUUUAAUUUAAAAUUAAAUUUAGUACAAGCAUUGACUUAUUCCAUAACAUUUUACAGCAGCGUAAAUAGGACAAGUGGUAUAAACUUAUAGUUUAAAAUAAAGCAUAUGUGGUGAAGUAUGCAAAACCCUAAAACAUUACAAAAAAUUUAUUUGCUUAAAUGUUUAAAUAAUUUCAUUUGGCUUCUGAUAUAUUAUUAGGUAAAUUUUCUUCACCUGAAGAAGACCAGUGAAGUAUGUAACAAUUAGUUACUUUUGGCUUUAGAAUCAAAGAAAAUUUACCUGAAGAAAUAUUUUACAGCAGUGUAAAUAGGACAAGUGGUAUGAACUUAUAGUUGUGCUUGAACAAUCGAAGAACACUGUUUUUAAAAUAAACCAUCUGUGAAUUAUGGAAACCCCUAAAACAUCACAAAACAUUUAUUUACUGUGUUCAAAUUAUUUCAUUUGGCUUCCGAUAUAUUAUUAGGUAAAUUUUCUUCACCUGAAGAUGACCAGUGAAGUAUGUAACAAUUAGUUACUUUUGGCUUUAGAAUCAAAGAAAAUUUACCUAAUAUUUAUUUGCUUAGUUAAAACGAUCAAAUUAGUUAUCAAAUGCUUUUGAAAAAAUUACAGAACUUACUUACUAUUGUAUAAAAAAUUCUUAAAUUUAUUACCAGCCAAUUGAAGGGCCAAUGCAAGCAAUACCAACAUUAAUAUAUAAAUGUUUGCGGUACACCAUGUACCAACAUUAUUAUUUGUCUGUUAAUUGGCAAAACAAACAAUUAUUUGUUCAAAUUUGAUAACUUAGUUGAUAACUUACUUAAAUAUACAUAGUAGGCAAUUAAAAUAUUGCUGCUUUUUCACAUUUUUAGCAUAGCUCAAAAUAUAGGAACAGUAUUACUUGUUUGCCUGUUGGAGAACAUACUUGCUUGUUCUAAUUUUUAAUUGAAACCCAUAAAUAUACCCAGCAUUUCAGUUAUUGAUCUUCACUGUUCAAAGUUUAUUACAAAAGCAGAGAGUAUAUAAUUAUUUACAUUGACUCAAUGUUUCGGUAAAGUUGCAAAUUUUAAAGACUGCAAUGUUAGUUUAUCACAUUAUUAAUGUAUGGACUUUUAAUAUGAAUAUUACAAUAAUUUCAUUGCUCAGUUCAAAUACGGUACAAUAAUAUAUACAAGAAUAAGGACAAAAUCUAUGUAAUAUAAUUAAGAAUUGUCUCAAAUAUCAAAAUUACAGCUUUUAAAAUCUUAAAAUCUUUUCUAUUUUUUAAAACUGCAGUAACAAACCAUUUUGAUGUUAAAAUAAAAAUGUUCUAUCUAAUUAUGUUCAUACCUUUGAAUAACAAGAACAUUAAACUGUACAUUGAUGUAUACAAUAAAAUAAAUAAAAAAAGUACUUCAAAGGCGUAUUCAAAAAAUACAAGCGAAACCAAAUAUAAACACAGUGGAAGUUAUAAAACAUGAUUACUGUAUAUAGAAAUUUUCAGAAAUCUAUUAAAAUGGUAUCUUUUAAUUUUCGCUUGAACGUACAUGGAUUUGCAGCUUCCAAGUUCAAAGAAAAUGAAAGCAUAUUUAUAUAUAAAUAUAUAUUUAUAUAUAAAUAUA